GACAAAAUGAAGCACGUUGAUUGUGCAUUACAUCAGCAAUUGAAGGGUUAGACCCAAACAUAACUACUACCACACAAAAUAUACAAAACCCUGCAAGCCAGAUGAGAGGAGAUGAUACAAAGUGACACUACAUAGAGAUUUGUUUUGUUAUCAGUAUUACCACAUAAACACAAGGGAAUGAAAUAACUUAGCAAAAUAUAAAAAAAAUAAACAUAAUUAGCUUUAACCUGAUGGGUAUUAAAAUGUUUGUAGAACUGCAAAGUCUUGAGUUCAAACCUCAAUCGAAGCUUAAUGGACCAAAAAAAUACAUCAUUGUUCCGAAAACAGGCUGUCCAGUUUAACACAUCCCAAUCUUAAAUACACAAUGUAUAACAUGCUAUAGAAAACAAUUUUGGAGACAGAAAAUGGAACCAUUUUGCAACAUCUGCCAGAAGUAGAUUAUAUUUGCAGCAAUGAGCCUCUUGAGCAACCAAAUAGAAGAGGUUAGAAUGAAAAUCCCACAAGUUUGGAUUCUUCUCUUUGGCUUUUAUAAACUUGAGACAUUAGCUCAAACACAAUCAGUAUGCCUUGUGUAGCUUCAAGUGAGAAGCAUAUUUCAUCAUCCAUCAGAUCAUGCCUCAGCCAGUUUUAAACGAGGAACAAUAUUCAUCGAUUGCAGUUCCUGAAUUAAGAGCUUGCAUGCAUAUGGCAGUUUCAUAGUAGAAAUGUUAUCCCCAUUUUUACAGGUAGAACAAAUCCCAGUCCUCAGUUUCUGAUUGAAAUAACCUAACAAACCACAAACUCUACAAACCUGAACUUCAAAAGGAUCACUAGAAAUCAUUAGGCGCUCAUAAAGUAACAUGCUAGCACCAUAAGCAAUCAAACAAUCACGUUCCAUUUCUCCUACUCGAAGUCCUCCAUUUCGAGCUCUCCCUUCAGUAGGUUGUCUGGUUAACAUGACACGAGGUCCAUUACCUCGAGCGUGCAUCUUAUCUAAGACCAUAUGUUUUAACUUCUGGUAGUAAAUUGGCCCCAUAAAAAUAUACGCUUGUAGUGGACAACCUGUAAUACCUGAAUAAAUGAAGUCCUUGCCAUUGUAGCUAAAGCCAUGAUUAACAAGCGUGUCACUUAUAGCUUCAACUGUGUCUGCAUGACCACUUGGUUCUCCAAAAGCACUACCAUAAUGAAAUCUACCACAUGAAACCCCAGCUUUUCCCCCAAGAAGUUCUAUCAUCUUUCCAACAGUCAUUCGACUUGGAAAUCCAUGAGGAUUCAUAAUCAAAUCAGGGCAUAUGCCACGUUCAGAAAAAGGGAAAUCUUCCUGUUGAAUGAUUGUUCCACAAACACCUUUCUGCCCAUGUCUGCUACUAAAUUUGUCACCAACCUCUGGUCUACGAGUAUGGCGAAUUAUAAAUUUGAUAGAUAGAUUGUUAUUCCUAUCUGAACUAAGAGCAACUCUAUCAACCACACAUGACUCCCCUUCAGGACCUUUGAAUAUACUUUUGUUAGGCCGAUAUUUGAUGUCUGCUAAUGCUGAAGCAGAUUUUAACUGCCCUCUUGUUUCCACUGGGGAUUCCUUAUUGAUGUAGAUAUCAUUAGGUCUAAUAAUUUCCCCAGGUGAAGCAAGUCCAUCAUCAUCCAACACCCUCUCCCUUUCUUCUGUCCUUGGUGGCCUUAAUAUUCUAUCAGCUGCACCAUUUUCAUACUUAUAAUUGACGGUGUCAGAAUACUUUUUCAUAACAAUACAACGUCCAAAACCACGAUCCAAAGAUGCCUUGUUCAUGACUAUUGCAUCCUCUAUGUCAUAGCCACUAUAACUCAUCACAGCAACAGUUGCAUUCUGACCAGCCCCAAGCUUAUCAUAACCAACCAGUUCAAUUGUCCUUGUUGUCAAUAGAGGCCGUUGAGGAUACACCAACAGAUAAAGUAAUGAGUCCAUCCGAAAUAACUGGUUGUAUGCAAUGUUUCCCAUAGCUUGCUUCCCCAUAGCACACUGAUAUGUAUUUCUUGGUGACUGAUUAUGAUGAGGAAAUGGUAUUAGCCCAGCACAAACACCUAAGAUGGUGAAAGGUUCUAUCUCAAUAUGGGUUGUCUCUGGUGCGGCCUCCCCUUCAUAGAGAGCAAUCAGAGCAUUGUUCUCCUCAUUGACAUCAAGAUAUUCAAUCAAUCCCUCGCGUAAGAAGUCGUCAAAAGUACGGACACCAUCCAGCAACUCUUUCAUAUGGUGCUCUUUAAUCCUUGAUACACCUUUGUCUGCAAUAACUAGCGGACGACAAACUCGACCUCCAUCCGAAGCAAUAUAUACAGCACACUGACAAAUAUUUAUACUCUCGCAAGAUCAGCUAUUUACUUAAACCUCAUAAGCCCAAAAAUAACAAAGUUAAUUAGACCGUAAUAAAGAAAUUUCUCUUUCUUUCCUCUAUUUCUUUACAAUUGACAAUUGUUAUACACAAUUGGAGGCUAAACGUUACAGCCAGAAGCUCCACGGAAUUGUUUAUUGUGAUUGUUAUUGUAUUUCUUAAUUGACCCCUUCAAGAAAAUUGUUUUAAAUCCAGGCAAAGAUAAGAUUUAAGAGUAUCCAACCACUCAAAUCCAAGACUUAAUCAUAUACUCAUCCUUAUGUGACUAGAAUUUCUUCAUCAAGUCAGCAGAAUUUUGAUUUCUAUAGCUCUAUGUUAGAAACUCACCCUACUUGUCACUAUUAUAUUAAGUUCUCUUGUUAUUGCUGAUUGGACAGCCAAAGAUGGUUAGAAUCCAGUUUUGCUGGGAUUAAUAUACUUAUUUAUUGGUUCUUUUUUACUCCCAUGUUAGGAAACUGAUUGCCACUUUGUAAUCAUCUUCUUGUUAGUAUUUACCUCCACAUUCAGAUUUAGAUCUCAGACUUUUUCAUCUAUAAUUUAAACUGUAACCACUCCUAUAUUAGAACCACAUAGCAAAAGGCAAGGCACAUUAUACAUUUCAAAUAUACAAGUGCAAACUUUUUAUUUUGACAUUGUAUUUCGAAGAUGUGGCACAAGAAAGUACCUGCUUCUCAUUCACAAAUACACUUACAAACUCGCCAAUUUUGCCAGCUCUUCGCAGCCUUCUCAUUGCAGCAGCAAAAUGAUGUGGCCUCCUGUGCUUGCCAAGAAUCAGCCCGUUAAAUAUAACUAGAUAAGAAUUUGGUAAGUGAAGCUCUUCCCCAGAAAGACGUUCCAAGUCUUCAACACCCAAACAAUAACACAAAGAAAUUAAUGGACCCUCCUCUUCAUCGGUUGUAACAUGAGUCAUCAGGGCCAAGUUCUUCACCAGUCCACAAGCUUCACCUUCUGGAGUAUCACAAGGGCAAAGCAUGCCCCACUGGCUUGGUUGCAAUGCUCUAGGUCCACUCACUUUCCUAGACUUCUCAAAUUGUGGUGAAAUUCUUGUCAUGUGGCCCAAAGAUGAAAUAAAGGAUAAUCUAGCCAACACCUGUGUCAUGCCUUUCCUGUGCAUCUUAAACCGUUUGACAUCAAAGUUGCCAGUAGAAAGUGUCCUUUCUAGCCCAUUAGUAAUGCUAUCUCUGACAAGAUAUUGGGAAAGGUCAAACCGACUAGAUCGGUUUUGCUUUGUUAACACAUUAUCAAUUGUUCUCUGAACCUCAGUGAUCAUAGUCUUAAACAGAUCCUCAAAAAGCAGAGAAAUUAACUGGCCAGAUAGCUCCAAUCUCUUGUUACCCACAUAAUCCUUAUCAUCCAUUGCAUCCUUGUUUAACAUAGCCUCCAUCAUCCUCCGCAACAUUACCGCAACAUACAAACAUUUUGGACGAAAAUUAUUUUUAUGCACCGGAACAUUAGCAAGAAACACAUCUCGAAGUAUACCCAAAGCUCUAUUUUCCUUAGCAGAUGAAUAACUGGCAUAUGUAGACACCUUCACCUUUCCUUCAAGGUACUCCAAAGCAUUUUUUUGCGUGUAUAUAUUCAGACCUGCGCAUUCCUCAAUAGAUGGCAAGAGUAGGGCACCAUAUCGAGGAUCUCUUCCCAACAUCUGUACAACCUCUUGAUCACUCUCCAUGCCCAUAGCCUUGAUUACCACCAUAAUAGGAAUCUUCUUUGCAAAUUGAUUGAGACAUAAAUAAAUCUUCUCCUUUUCCAUCUGAAUGACUGUUUUGCUUUUUGUUGCUUCUGUGCUGCUUGUAACAGAUGCAUUUAUGCUGAAAACAGAGAGCAAACAAAGGAGUCCAACACAUGAAGCACAAACCAAUUCAGGAAGAGAAAAUAACAAUAUCAACUAAAAAACGUCAUUCGGAAUGGCCAAAACAUUGCCAAAAACACCAUUGCAGGAAUAAGACCAUCCUGCUAACAAAAAUAAACAUGGAAGAUACCUGUAGGAUAUCAUGAUGUAAAAAGAAAAAAGAAAAAAAAAAUAGACAUAAGAGGAACUCACUUUCCCUUCUUAUCAGUAUCAAUAAUUAUUCUAUUCUUUGAAAGUUGCUCUUGAAUUAAAA
rnacentral:misc_RNA from 1 species